rnacentral:rRNA from 1 species
AUUGAACGCUGGCGGCAGGCCUAACACAUGCAAGUCGAGCGAGCGGCGGACGGGUGAGUAAUGUCUGGGAAACUGCCUGAUGGAGGGGGAUAACUACUGGAAACGGUAGCUAAUACCGCAUACCAUCAUAUGGACCCAGAUGGGAUUAGAUAGAAGGUAGGGUAACGGCUUACCUAGGCGACGAUCCCUAGCUGGUCUGAGCGGAUGACCAGCAACACUGGAACUGCGACACGGUCCAGACUCCUACGGGAGGCAGCAGUGGGGAAUAUUGCAAAAUGGGCGCAAGGCUGAUGCAGCCAUGCCGCGUGUGUGAAGAAGGCCUUAGGGUUGUAAAGCACUGUCAGCGGGGAGGCGUUACCCGCAGAAGAAGCACCGGCUAACUCCGUGCCAGCAGCCGCGGUAAUAC